UACGAAGGGGGCUAGCGUUGCUCGGAAUCACUGGGCGUAAAGCGCACGUAGGCGGGUUCUUAAGUCGGUGGUGAAAUCCUGGAGCUCAACUCCAGAACUGCCUCCGAUACUGAGAGCCUCGAGUCCGGGAGAGGUGAGUGGAACUGCGAGUGUAGAGGUGAAAUUCGUAGAUAUUCGGAAGAACACCAGUGGCGAAGGCGGCUCACUGGCCCGGUACUGACGCUGAGGUGCGAAAGCGUGGGGAGCAAACAGG
rnacentral:rRNA from 1 species